GCACAACAACAGUAAUAUGAUCUAUUAGCAAUUCGAUUUCAAUUCCCAGGGGCCUAAAAUCUUUUAUGCAGCUUAAGAAUUGUAAAGUGAUUUCUUAGGAAAUUCCGAGGUUGCGUUUUUUUUAUACACCCUGUAUAUUCACUUUUGUUAUCACUCAGUUCCUCUGAUUGUUCUAAAACAAUGGUAUUAUCAGAGCUAGUAUGUGUUUGUGAGUACUUUAUACUGACAUGUUUUCCAUGCAAAAAAUCAUUUUUGCACUUACCACAUGGAUCCUGCGCCUCAGAUUUCACAUUUGUUUGAAUU